AGCUGUGUGCAGUGGCGGUGUCAUAGCCAGUGAGGCUCACCUGAGGUGUGAUCAUUGCUCACCGAAAACAUUUCACCCUGUUGGGACAACUUGAAAUAUACUUUUAUA
rnacentral:snRNA from 1 species